UACGUAGGGGGCAAGCGUUGUCCGGAAUCAUUGGGCGUAAAGAGCGUGUAGGCGGCCAGAUAAGUCCGCUGUGAAAUCUCGAGGCUCAACUUCGAGCUGUCGGUGGAAACUGUCGGGCUAGAGUCCGGAAGAGGCGAGUGGAAUUCCCGGUGUAGCGGUGAAAUGCGCAGAUAUCGGGAGGAACACCAAUGGCGAAGGCAGCUCGCUGGGACGGUACUGACGCUGAGACGCGAAAGCGUGGGGAGCAAACAGG
rnacentral:rRNA from 1 species